rnacentral:rRNA from 1 species
UACCCUUGGUCAGGUUGAAGUUCAGGUAACACUGAAUGGAGGACCGAACCGACUUACGUUGAAAAGUGAGCGGAUGAACUGAGGGUAGCGGAGAAAUUCCAAUCGAACCUGGAGAUAGCUGGUUCUCUCCGAAAUAGCUUUAGGGCUAGCCUCAAGUGAUGAUUAUUGGAGGUAGAGCACUGUUUGGACGAGGGGCCCCUCUCGGGUUACCGAAUUCAGACAAACUCCGAAUGCCAAUUAAUUUAACUUGGGAGUCAGAACAUGGGUGAUAAGGUCCGUGUUCGAAAGGGAAACAGCCCAGACCACCAGCUAAGGUCCCAAAAUAUAUGUUAAGUGGAAAAGGAUGUGGCGUUGCCCAGACAACUAGGAUGUUGGCUUAGAAGCAGCCAUCAUUUAAAGAGUGCGUAAUAGCUCACUAGUCGAGUGACACUGCGCCGAAAAUGUACCGGGGCUAAACAUAUUACCGAAGCUGUGGAUUGUCCUUUGGACAAUGGUAGGAGAGCGUUCUAAGGGCGUUGAAGCAUGAUCGUAAGGACAUGUGGAGCGCUUAGAAGUGAGAAU